CUGCACUCCAGCCUGGGUGACAGAGCAAGACUCUGUCUCAAAAAAAAAAAAAAAGAAAAAAAGAAAUUUCCCGCAUCUGAUGAGGACACAAGUCACUGGAUUAGGCCCCACCCAUCUUAACUCCCCCCCAUCCACAAAACCCUGUUUCCGGUUAAGGUCACGUUCACUAGGAGUGGAGGAUUGGAGUGAAACGUACGUAUUAGGGAGGGCAUAAUUCGGUCCACAGCCGGAGGGAGAAGAGGCUGGCUGAUACGGCACUUAAAAGGCUCCCAAAAUGUGACUCUCAUGUACAACUGGCCUUGAUGUGACGUAUGUUAGGGUAGAGAGGCGUGUUGUCCUAGUGCAGGUGACACAGGUCCCGCAGUUGCAGGCAUCCUUCUGCUCAGUGGUGCAGACAACAAGGACUGUUUUUCAGUUGCUCAUGGUCUGGCUUGGAGGUCUCAGGCAUUCUCCCUGGCACAGCACAGCCCUUUUCACAUUUGCAUUGGUUUCUAUUGAGGACACCAGAGUGACAUUUCAGUUCUGGUCCAAUGCCCUCCUGGAUAGAUGGAUGUGCCUGUCCCACAAUCUCAGAGCACGGGAUGGAUAAGGGAUGAAUGUCUUCCUUGGCUUCGGCUUCUUCCCUGUGCGCUUUCCACGGUUCCAGCGCGAUAGCCGAGCAUCGUGACAGAAGUCUGUCGGCCACUCCACUUGUGUGUGCCUUGCGUGGGGCACCUUGCCAUCCAUCGCCCACCAUCCCUCUUCCCCUCCAGAUGCCCUGCAGCAAGAACUGGUGACCACUCAGCGCCUCCUGGGAGAACUUGAUGUUGGUGAUUCGGAAGAAAAUGUGCAGGUGCUGGACUUACUGAGGGAACUCAAGGACGUGACGGUGAAAAAGGACCUUGAGCUCCGAAGGUACCUCGGAAAAUGCUUUAAGAAAGAGGUGGCACCCUGUUUGCUCAGGGCUGUUGGUGGCUGCACUGUUGGGGUGGUGCCGAGUUCCUCUUGGAGUUCAGAGGAGGUUCAGUCCCCUGAGCGAGCUGCUCUUUUCCCAGACGCUGCACGAUACAAGAAUGGCCAGCAGGUGUCAUUGUCAUCUGUAUUGUGGAUAACAAAAUCUCCAUCCAAGAGCACCCGCCUUGCCUUCCCUUUUUUUUUUUUUUGAGACAGAUUCUCACUCUGUCGCCCAGGCUGGAGUGCAGUGGCAGAUCUCAGCUCACUGCAGCCUCAAAUUCCUGGGCUCAAGUGAUCCUCCCACCUCAGCCUCUUCAGUAGCUGGGACUGCAGGUGUGUGCCACCAUGCCCAGCUAAUUUCCCUUUUCUAGCCUACUUCUCAGUCAUUUUUGAGCUAAUGGGGAUUCUAGGUGAAGUGAGGAUCAAAUAUGCUGUAAGAUGUGUCCUAGAUUCACAGGGUAUAAGACUCAAGCAGAGCAGGGGGAAGAGAGAACAAAAGAGCUCAGAAAAAUCCAUGGAAGGGCCGGGUGCAGUUUCUCACGCCUGUCAUCCCAGCACUUUGGGAGGCCGAGGUGGGAGAAUCACUUUAGGCCAAGAGUUCAAGACCAGCCUGGGCAACAUGGUGAGGCCUUGUUUCUAUUUAUUUAUUUAUUUAUUUUGAGACAGAGUUGCUCAGGCUGAAGUGCAAUGUCAUGAUUUUGGCUCACUGCAACCUCCACCUCCUGGGUUCAAGCAAUUCUCCUGCCUCAGCCUCCGAACUAACUGGGAUCACAGGUGCACACCACCACGCCCGGCUAAUUUUGUAUUUUUAGUAGAGACAGUGUUUCACCUUGUUGGUCAGGCUGGUCUUGAACUCCUGACCUCAAGUGAUCUGCCCACCUCAGCCCCCCAAAGUGCUGGGAUUACAAGCGUGAGCCACCAUGCCGGGCCUCUCUAUUUAAAAAAUACAAAAAUUAGCCAGGCACACUGGUGCAUGCCUGUGGUCUCAGCUACUCAGGAAGCAGAGGUGGGAGAAUCAUCUGAGCCUGGGGAGGUCAAGGCUGUAACGAGCUGUGGUCGUGCCACUGCAUUACAACCUGAGCAGUAGAGUGAGACCCUGUCUCAGG
rnacentral:sRNA from 1 species